GCAUAUCAAUAAGCGGAGGAAAAGAAACCAACAGGGAUUGCCUUAGUAACGGCGAGUGAAGCGGCAAAAGCUCAAAUUUGAAAUCUAGUACCUUCGGUGCUCGAGUUGUAAUUUGAAGAUGGUAACUUUGGAGUUGGCCCUUGUCUAUGUUCCUUGGAACAGGACGUCACAGAGGGUGAGAAUCCCGUCUGACGAGGUGAUCCAACUCUAUGUAAAGUGCUAUCGAAGAGUCGAGUUGUUUGGGAAUGCAGCUCUAAGUGGGUGGUAAAUUCCAUCUAAAGCUAAAUAUUGGCGAGAGACCGAUAGCGAACAAGUACAGUGAUGGAAAGAUGAAAAGAACUUUGAAAAGAGAGUGAAAAAGUACGUGAAAUUGUUGAAAGGGAAGGGUAUUAGAUCAGACUUGGCGUUUUAUGAUUAUCUUCUCUUCUUGAGUUGUGCACUCGUAUUGCGCUGGGCCAGCAUCGAUUCGGAUGGCAGGAUAAUGGCAAUUGAAUGUGGCAUCCACUUCGGUGUAUGUGUUAUAGCUUUUGUUGAUGCUGCCUAUCUGGAUCGAGGACUGCGUCUUUUGACUAGGAUGUUGGCGUAAUGAUCUAAUAUCGCCCGUCUUGAAACACGGACCAAGGAGUCUAACGUCUAUGCGAGUGUUUGGGUGUAAAACCCGUACGCGUAAUGAAAGUGAACGUAGAUGAGAGCCCUUACGGGUGCAUCAUCGACCGAUCCUGAUGUUUUCAGAUGGAUUUGAGUAAGAGCAUAGCUGUUGGGACCCGAAAGAUGGUGAACUAUGCCUGAAUAGGGUGAAGCCAGAGGAAACUCUGGUGGAGGCUCGUAGCGGUUCUGACGUGCAAAUCGAUCGUCGAAUUUGGGUAUAGGGGCGAAAGACUAAUCGAACCAUCUAGUAGCUGGUUCCUGCCGAA
rnacentral:rRNA from 1 species